rnacentral:rRNA from 1 species
UACGGAGGGUGCAAGCGUUGUUCGGAAUUAUUGGGCGUAAAGGGCGCGUAGGCGGUGCGGUAAGUCCGCAGUGAAAUCUCUGGGCUCAACUCAGAGUCUGCUGUGGAAACUGCCGUGCUCGAGUGUGGGAGAGGUGAGUGGAAUUCCCGGUGUAGCGGUGAAAUGCGUAGAUAUCAGGAGGAACACCUGUGGCGAAAGCGGCUCACUGGACCAUAACUGACGCUGAUGCACGAAAGCUAGGGGAGCAAACAGG